rfam:Zea mays cultivar B73 chromosome 5, whole genome shotgun sequence.
GUGCUCUGAGUUGCGCGGAGGCUGAAAAAGCUCGGAGAGCGUGUGUUGUCAUCAGCUUCGUCUCUGUUUACUGUGAGUUGGGAGUUAAAUAACAGCACGAGAUUC